UUUUCUAUUACAAAUUAUGCAUAAACUUACUUCAAAGUUGGUGAGCUUUUGAAAAUCACUGUUAUCCAGCUUAAGAUACUGAACGGCCACUGCCAGUUUCAUCUGCCAAGUAAUGAAAGUUGUUCUUCAAGGAAGUUAUUUAGUUCUAUGAGAGUUUAAAAUGAGUCUGCUAAAAAAAGAUGGAUCUUCAGAUCCAGGGCAAAUAUGCAGUACAAGGUAUACCUUAAGUUGAAAUACAUGAGCUGCCUAUAACUACAGCAGUUUUCAAUGAAGAAAAGCUUACUUCCUAAUACAAAAAAGAAUUCACUUUUCAGCUAAACAACUGAUGUGCAAAAGGUAAGUUAAAAGUCAUAAUACGGGCAGCCCGGGUGGCUCAGUGGUUUAGCGCCGCCUUCAGCCCAGGGUGUGAUCCUAGAGACCCAGGAUCGAGUCCCACGUUGGACUCCCUGCAUGGAGCCUGCUUCACCCUCUGCCUAUGUCUCUGCCUCUCUCUCUCUCUCUCUUUCUCUCUAUCUAUCUAUCUCUGUGUCUCUGAGUGAAUAAAAUCUUUUUAAAAAAAGUCAUAAUACCAUAUUUAACAGCUAACUGAAGAGAAAAAACUACCAUGUCACUGACAUUUAAUCAUGGAGUUAAAUAAAUGGUUCAUUUUUCAGGUGUACUUCUACUUGCCACACAUUUGGGAUGGGCUUUACGAAGUACAGCAUGUAUCAAAGACAUACAAAUUAUCCACCUGGGAGUUUUAUUGAAACUGCUUAAGUUUAUCUGGAUUCAGUAAAUUCCUUUGAAUUCUUCUCCUAAUUAUUAUUUUUGAUAGGCUCUUAAUAGAAAUAAGAAUCAAUAAAUAACUGUUGCUAUUUUAUUAACUCAUGCUACCCUCAUGGUAUUCCUGUGGGAAAGGCUCAGUGAUUAACUUCAUUUUACACAGGAGGACACCAAGAAGUUAGGUAACCUGACUAAGGAGCACCGCCGACCAGAGCUUAAUCCAGGGUUCAAACCCAGGGUCAUGGACUGGAUGGCAUGAGUCCUUAACUCCCAAGAUCUUACUUCAUACUUCAUACUUACUUACUUUUCUCAAGUGGGAUGACCUAGAAACAGACCAGGAAGUACCGUAAAAGGUCAGACCCGGCACUUAACCUCAGUGUUCAAAUACGAAUCACAAUGCAAGAACAGUCUUAUCGAAGUGCUAUAGUUAGCAAUCUGGGUUAACAAUCACUGGAAAAAAAACAUAGCCUAGAAUGCCCAUGGGCUUUGUUCUCUCAUUCAUUUCUAGGAAAAUGUUAGUUAUUUGCCCUCUAGGGAGUUGGGAGGGGAAGACCAGGGGUUCUCCUAGGGAUUGUUACAGCUGACAAAUGACCAAGGUAACUCUCCAUGGAGCGGCGUUUUGAGUUUCUAGCCGAUGCAUCUUCGUACACCAAUCUUCUCAGCAGGCAAAGGUAGCAGAGAUCAGAGGGCUGUGGAUGAGGGCAUGGUCAGGGGCUUGGUUAGAGGGCAAAGAAGGGUCUACAUAUGAGGAUAUGAGGAUACCAAAAUGACAAGUAAAACUAAGCGGGGACAAGAAAGAACCCAGGGCUGAUAGCUAAACAAGGUCUUCCACAGAGCUCGGAAAUUACUGGUCUUUAAAGCACCCCAAGGCAAGUGGCCCCAUGAAUCCAUCUUUUGCCGCUCUGUGGGCUGAAUUAUACUCCACACGAUAUACUAAAGACAGCCAUGAACAGCUUUUAUAGCUUUGAUAAAUGGCUUUUUAGUUUAGGUUGCAUUAUGAGAACAAAACAAGUGGUCAUGAAUCAUAACAUUUUAUGGGUCUGCUGCUUCAUAUAGUUUUCUAAAAUUAAGCCUCUAAAUUAUACUCCGCCCUCAUUAGGAAAAGCAUCCCAGAUAGAGAAAACCAUUUCAGAGACAAUGGUAGACCUAUGACUGGAGACC
rnacentral:lncRNA from 1 species